GACUUGUGAGACGGGGUCAUUAAAAGCAUUGUGGCUUCCUCUUUGCUCUCACUCUUAGAUCCCUCAUUACGGCCCAAGGCAACUGCCGUGUCAUGACACUCAAGCAGCCUUACAGGGAGCUCCAUGUGGCGAGCAAAACUGAAGUCUCUUGCCAAGUGAGCGGUUAUCGUGGAAGCAGAACUUUUGGCCCCGGUCAAGUUUCCAGAAGACUGCACCAACCCCCCACCCCCACCCCGCCUGGCCCACUUCUUGCCUACAGACUCCUAAAAGACCCCAAACUAGAACCACCUGGCUAAGGCACCCCGGAAUUCCUGACCCUCAGAAACUCUGUAAAAGAAGACAUAUGUAUUCUCGCUUAACACCCUUAAACUUGGCCUACAUUUGGGCGUGGGGUGUGGUAAUGUAUCACGCAGCAAAACUAACAGAUAAAACGUCUGUAGAUACUUACCCAUCCUCUUGGAGGACGCGACUGAGGACCAGUAACAGACCUUACUUUUCUCAGAUGUUAUUAAAGGAUUUCCGAGAGUCUUUAACGCCACGAAAUGUGCCCUGCGAGUCUCCAAAAAAGAACUGAAUAGACAGCCUUUUCAAAUGUAUUGGACCAUAAAGCUGUUUUCGAGAUCCA